UCAGUAACGGCGAGUGAAGCGGCAAAAGCUCAAAUUUGAAAUCUGGCUCUUUCAGGGCCCGAGUUGUAAUUUGUAGAAGAUGCUUUGGGUGUGGCUCCGGUUUAAGUUCUUUGGAAUAUUACAUCAUAGAGGGUGAGAAUCCCGUAUGUGACCGGUCGCCGCCCCCGUGUAAAGCUCUUUCAACGAGUCGAGUUGUUUGGGAAUGCAGCUCAAAAUGGGAGGUAUAUUUCUUCUAAAGCUAAAUAUUGGCCAGAGACCGAUAGCGCACAAGUAGAGUGAUCGAAAGAUGAAAAGCACUUUGGAAAGAGAGUUAAACAGUACGUGAAAUUGUUGAAAGGGAAGCGCUUGCAACCAGACUUGCACGCAGUUGAUCAUCCGGUGUUCUCACCGGGGCACUCUGCUGCGUUCAGGCCAGCAUCGGUUUUGGUGGUUGGAUAAAGACCUUGGGAAUGUAGCUUCUUUCGGGGAGUGUUAUAGCCCUCGGUGCAAUGCAGCCUACCGGGACCGAGGACCGCGCUUCGGCUAGGAUGCUGGCGUAAUGGUUGUAAG
rnacentral:rRNA from 1 species